GAUGAACGCUGGCGACGUGCCUAAUACAUGCAAGUCGAGCGAACAGACGAGGAGCUUGCUCCUCUGACGUUAGCGGCGGACGGGUGAGUAACACGUGGAUAACCUACCUAUAAGACUGGGAUAACUUCGGGAAACCGGAGCUAAUACCGGAUAAUAUAUUGAACCGCAUGGUUCAAUAGUGAAAGACGGUUUUGCUGUCACUUAUAGAUGGAUCCGCGCCGCAUUAGCUAGUUGGUAAGGUAACGGCUUACCAAGGCAACGAUGCGUAGCCGACCUGAGAGGGUGAUCGGCCACACUGGAACUGAGACACGGUCCAGACUCCUACGGGAGGCAGCAGUAGGGAAUCUUCCGCAAUGGGCGAAAGCUUGACGGAGCAACGCCGCGUGAGUGAUGAAGGUCUUCAGAUCGUAAAACUCUGUUAUUAGGGAAGAACAAAUGUGUAAGUAACUAUGCACGUCUUGACGGUACCUAAUCAGAAAGCCACGGCUAACUACGUG
rnacentral:rRNA from 1 species